AUGCAUGUCUCAGUACAAGCCAAAUUAAGGUGAAACCGCGAAAGGCUCAUUAAAUCAGUUAUGGUUCCUUAGAUCGUACCCACAUUUACUUGGAUAACUGUGGUAAUUCUAGAGCUAAUACAUGCAAACAGAGCUCCGACCGGAGACGGAAGGAGCGCUUUUAUUAGAUCAAAACCAAUCGGUGAUGGGUUCGCUCGUCAUCGUACAUUUUGGUGACUCUGAAUAACUUUUUGCUGAUCGCACGGUCUAGCACCGGCGACGCAUCUUUCAAAUGUCUGCCUUAUCAACUGUCGAUGGUAGGUUCUGCGCCUACCAUGGUUGUAACGGGUAACGGGGAAUCAGGGUUCGAUUCCGGAGAGGGAGCCUGAGAAACGGCUACCACAUCCAAGGAAGGCAGCAGGCGCGCAAAUUACCCACUCCCGGCACGGGGAGGUAGUGACGAAAAAUAACGAUACGGGACUCAUCCGAGGCCCCGUAAUCGGAAUGAGUACACUCUAAACCCUUUAACGAGGAUCAAUUGGAGGGCAAGUCUGGUGCCAGCAGCCGCGGUAAUUCCAGCUCCAAUAGCGUAUAUUAAAGUUGUUGCGGUUAAAAAGCUCGUAGUCGAAUCUGUGUCUCGCGCCGCCGGUUCAUCGUUCGCGGUGUUUAACUGGCGUGCCGCGGGACGUCCUGCCGGUGGGCUUAACCUAAGGGAGCGGCCCAACUUGAAAUCCCACCGCGGUGCUCUUCAUCGAGUGUCGAGGUGGGCCGGCACGUUUACUUUGAACAAAUUAGAGUGCUUAAAGCAGGCUCAAACUUCGCCUGAAUACUGUGUGCAUGGAAUAAUGGAAUAGGACCUCGGUUCUAUUUUGUUGGUUUUCGGAACCCCGAGGUAAUGAUUAAUAGGAACGGAUGGGGGCAUUCGUAUUGCGACGUUAGAGGUGAAAUUCUUGGAUCGUCGCAAGACGGACAGAAGCGAAAGCAUUUGCCAAAAACGCUUUCAUUGAUCAAGAACGAAAGUUAGAGGUUCGAAGGCGAUCAGAUACCGCCCUAGUUCUAACCAUAAACGAUGCCAGCUAGCGAUCCGCCGACGUUCCUCCGAUGACUCGGCGGGCAGCUUCCGGGAAACCAAAGCUUUUGGGUUCCGGGGGAAGUAUGGUUGCAAAGCUGAAACUUAAAGGAAUUGACGGAAGGGCACCACCAGGAGUGGAGCCUGCGGCUUAAUUUGACUCAACACGGGAAACCUCACCAGGCCCGGACACCGGAAGGAUUGACAGAUUGAGAGCUCUUUCUUGAUUCGGUGGGUGGUGGUGCAUGGCCGUUCUUAGUUGGUGGAGCGAUUUGUCUGGUUAAUUCCGAUAACGAACGAGACUCUAGCCUGCUAACUAGGCGUAUUUUCGACAUCUCAAAGGCCCGCCGGCCCGGCGCUCUUGUGUCGCGGUCGCGCGCGGUUUUUACUGUCGGCGUACAAUCAAUUCUUCUUAGAGGGACAGGCGGCUUCUAGCCGCACGAGAUUGAGCAAUAACAGGUCUGUGAUGCCCUUAGAUGUUCUGGGCCGCACGCGCGCUACACUGAAGGAAUCAGCGUGUCCUCCCUGGCCGAGAGGCCCGGGUAACCCGCUGAACCUCCUUCGUGCUAGGGAUUGGGGCUUGCAAUUGUUCCCCAUGAACGAGGAAUUCCCAGUAAGC
rnacentral:rRNA from 1 species